AUUUCCAGUGCUGGCCAGAGACAGACACAAGUGCAGAUUUUGGUGAUGAUGAUGUAGACCAGGUUAUUAGUCACUUCCGACCUCUUCUACUGACAGCUGGAGUGGAUAUUGACUUGAUUCCAGAUCAAUGGACCAUUCUGAAAACACAACUUUACACUGCAGGUUUCAGCCAAGGGACCAUUGAGAAGACAUGGCCUGCAGUAAACAGAAUGCUGCGCCAUGAGUGUCCUGAUGUCCUACACCUGUUUGAUGCCCUGCUCACCAUUCCGACAAAUACAGCUGACUGUGAGAGGGGGUUUAGUGUCAUGAAGCAGGUUAAGAGUGACUGGCGCUCAAGCCUGAAAGGGGAGACACUAGCUGACCUUUUGAAAACACAGUUGUGCUCACCGGACAUCAAAGACUUCGACCCACGCAAAGCCAUAGAAAUCUGGCAUGGUGACAGUGUGCGCACACGCCGGCCACACUUUGUGAGGAAGAAAAAUGGAACUGAUGUAAAUGGGGGCUCUGAGUCAGAGUCCUCAGAGAGCUCUGCCUCUGAUGAUGUUUAA